GGACGAACGCUGGCGGCGUGCCUAAUACAUGCAAGUCGAGCGGACAGAAGGGAGCUUGCUUCCGGAUGUUAGCGGCGGACGGGUGAGUAACACGUGGGUAACCUGCCUGUAAGACUGGGAUAACUCCGGGAAACCGGAGCUAAUACCGGAUAGUUCCUUGAACCGCAUGGUUCAAGGAUGAAAGACGGUUUCGGCUGUCACUUACAGAUGGACCCGCGGCGCAUUAGCUAGUUGGUGGGGUAAUGGCUCACCAAGGCGACGAUGCGUAACCGACCUGAGAGGGUGAUCGGCCACACUGGGACUGAGACACGGCCCAGACUCCUACGGGAGGCAGCAGUAGGGAAUCUUCCGCAAUGGACGAAAGUCUGACGGAGCAACGCCGCGUGAGUGAUGAAGGUUUUCGGAUCGUAAAGCUCUGUUGUUAGGGAAGAACAAGUGCGAGAGUAACUGCUCGCACCUUGACGGUACCUAACCAGAAAGCCACGGCUAACUACGUGCCAGCAGCCGCGGUAAUACGUAGGUGGCAAGCGUUGUCCGGAAUUAUUGGGCGUAAAGGGCUCGCAGGCGGUUUCUUAAGUCUGAUGUGAAAGCCCCCGGCUCAACCGGGGAGGGUCAUUGGAAACUGGGAAACUUGAGUGCAGAAGAGGAGAGUGGAAUUCCACGUGUAGCGGUGAAAUGCGUAGAGAUGUGGAGGAACACCAGUGGCGAAGGCGACUCUCUGGUCUGUAACUGACGCUGAGGAGCGAAAGCGUGGGGAGCGAACAGGAUUAGAUACCCUGGUAGUCCACGCCGUAAACGAUGAGUGCUAAGUGUUAGGGGGUUUCCGCCCCUUAGUGCUGCAGCUAACGCAUUAAGCACUCCGCCUGGGGAGUACGGUCGCAAGACUGAAACUCAAAGGAAUUGACGGGGGCCCGCACAAGCGGUGGAGCAUGUGGUUUAAUUCGAAGCAACGCGAAGAACCUUACCAGGUCUUGACAUCCUCUGACAACCCUAGAGAUAGGGCUUUCCCUUCGGGGACAGAGUGACAGGUGGUGCAUGGUUGUCGUCAGCUCGUGUCGUGAGAUGUUGGGUUAAGUCCCGCAACGAGCGCAACCCUUGAUCUUAGUUGCCAGCAUUCAGUUGGGCACUCUAAGAUGACUGCCGGUGACAAACCGGAGGAAGGUGGGGAUGACGUCAAAUCAUCAUGCCCCUUAUGACCUGGGCUACACACGUGCUACAAUGGACAGAACAAAGGGCUGCAAGACCGCAAGGUUUAGCCAAUCCCAUAAAUCUGUUCUCAGUUCGGAUCGCAGUCUGCAACUCGACUGCGUGAAGCUGGAAUCGCUAGUAAUCGCGGAUCAGCAUGCCGCGGUGAAUACGUUCCC
rnacentral:rRNA from 1 species